GCGGAACCCGACGGCGGGUUCGCGGACGAGGGAGCAGUACCCGCACCACGACAAGACUGCCGCGAA
rnacentral:ncRNA from 1 species